CAGAGAGGGGACCCAGAAAGGAAGAGAGGACAGUACUGAAGCCAGUGUGUAGCUCAGCUAUUCCCGUCCUCCAGGUGGAAUUCUUGACUCGGGGUGAAAGCAAUUUCUGAAUAAACGGGAUGUUUCCUCCCAAGCCCAACACAAAAUAUGUGGGAUUCAGGAAUACCCUGCUCUCUUAACAAUUUGUUCUUAGCAACUAUACUGUGUCAUGCAGUCACUGACGAUGACAUCCCCAACAAACGUCCCAAUGACGGCUAAAUCAAAGCAGCGACCAAAAGCGUGCCAUAAGAGAGGUAACAUCUGUAAACUUCUAUUGUACUAUAAAAUAGAAAACUAUUCUUCAAGUCCUAUACAAUGACUUCAUACUGUGAUUACAAGAGGAGGCCCCGUUUGCUAUAAAAUCUAAAGAUGGAUAAUAUAAUGUCCUCCUGUAUUGUACAUUCAACCUAAACUAACAUACUGUCUUUAAUAAGCAUUAAUUACAUUUUUAUUUAAGAAACUUUUUUUUACGGUGUUGCAGUUUGGAAGUGUUUUCAAAGGCAAAUAGGAAGGCUAAUAUCUGAGGGAAAAAACUACUAAAAAAAGUUGGAGCAGGUGUCCCCUUUUCUUUAGGCCUAUUCCCACGGCAAACGGGACCUUUCUGUUCCGUUGUGCUGCCUUUGAGGCUGCAUCCAGGGCAGUCACUGGAGAAGCGGUGAUGCCGUGGCAAUGACGGCACGGCCCCGACGCGCAGCUAGCUGUAACCUUAGGUAAGGGAGCCGUUCAUUGCCAGGCAGGAACCUGGCAUUCCCAGAGUCAUGGUAACCUGCCCAAGGCCCCACAGGGUUCGAAUGCAGGCUCUUUUCACGCUACAGCCACCAUUCUUUCAACUAAGCCGUGUCCUUUACUGGUAGAAAUAGCGCAAUAAAUAGCACACGGCAGAGAGAACGGGAUACGGGCAUUAACUGAUUGCAACAAAAGUGGAAAUCGUUGAAAAAAGGACCAGCUGUGCUUUUUACCCCUUGCUAGGCAGAGAGAGCCAGGGCAGGGCUGAGGCAGAUGCCCAGGUCCUGGGCAGGUACCAAACUCUGAGGCCGGCACCCGUCCCACCGGGGAGCAGAGGACUCCUUGCCCAGUCACCCAUCUUGGGUCUGUCUUUUCAUUUCCAUCCUCUGGGCCCAGCUUGGGUCUGGGAAGGGGAACACGCGUCCUUUGAGAGCUCACUCUGUGUUAAGGGCGCUGUGGCCCACUUUGGUCCGCACAGCAGCUCUGCGCGUUCAGUAUCAUCAGUUCUGUCCCACAGAUGGGGAAGCAGAAUUUGUUAAGUGAGAGGCAGUAUGGCUCGUAGUUAGAGGCAUGGCCUCUGGCCUGAGCUGCUGGAAUCCUGACUUUCUACUCACUAGACUAGAGGAAAGGAAACAGCUUUCCCAAAGCAGUGUUCUUUCUACACGCAGGGAUAACAGGAGUGUUUCCGUGGUAGGGCUUUUGUGAAGAUGUACAGGUGUUGCUUGCAAAGCUUUUAGCACGGUGCACAGCACUCAGUAAGGGCUUACCCCAUGCCAGCGAUGGCCACCGUUAAGAGUUUGGGCUGGGAUUUAGCCCCAGCUCAGCCUGACCCUCUCCACACCAUCAGAGCACCACAUGUUAAAUCCCCGCUCUGUGGUUUGUUUACAAGCUGCAUGACCUUAGACAGGUCACUUUCCUUGGGCCUCAGUUUCCCUUACUGUAAAGUGGGGAAUAUUACUUUACAAGGUGAUUGUUGAGGCUCAAGGGAAUUAGAAGUAAAAACACUGACUCAACUACUGAAAGGAAAAUGCAGAGUUAAGCGUUAGCUGGUGUUUUAGUAAGUGUUGGUCGGUGCGUUAGGAUUUGUCUUGGUUCUCUUUGGGGUUUAAAGUACAGAACCCUAACUCCUGACUCCCCUGGAGACUGGAUAAGGGAAAAGAUAAACACCCGAUAAAUGCACAAGACAGGAACGAAGGGCAGUGGGAAGGGAGCUGACUUGUAUUGACACCUACUGCAUGCCUGGCCUAAUGACAGGCAUUUCAGAGAUGUAUUCCAGGUGUACCAGCCCCCCAGCCUGUGACUAGAAAAUCUUGGCGCGUUUGCUUGCAUUGGCCCCCACCGCUUGAUCUGAGUGUUCCCUGGGUAUUUGGAGGCCUCGUCACUCUCCGUGUCUACCCCACCCUUCCUCUUCUGCUUGAAUCGCCAUGUCUGUGCCCACUGCCGCUACCCAGCAUGACCCCUGGUCUGUGAGGGGGCCGCCUUCCUCCACCAGGGCACUGAACACUGGCACACAGACCUUCCAGGCCGAGGAGAGGAGGGUGCACCUCUCCACCUCCAUGGGCCCCAGGGCAGCUCUGUUUCUGCCCACAGUCUUACAGAACCUUUCGACUUCUGACUCUCCAGCUUCUAGAUCUUAGAACUCAACCCAGUCCCAGGGGCUGGAUGAGAAGUCCCGUAUCAUCUCUCUUUCUCUGCUCUCUCCUCAGACCAAGCCCCCAAUCCAACAUCUCCUUUACUCUCUCUCCUGCAAAAUAAAAGUAUCUGGGCAUUAUCAAUGGAUAUCAAAAAUACUGAGAACGUGGGUGGGAGUAUCACUUGCCCUAAUAAUGCCUGGAUUCAGGGUUCAGCAAUUCCCAAAUGCCAUGCUGCAUCCUUACCAAGAUGCUGUGAGACAGAUACUAUGAACCCACUUUGCAGGUGAAGACACUGAGGCUCAGAGAGGAGAAGCUGGGUCAAGGAUAUUCAGCUAGUAAGUGGCCGAGCUGGGGUUCAGACUCAGGGCUAUUUGAGUACCACCCUGCUUCUGGAAGCCGAAGGGAUGAUGCUCUGACAGUGUCAGGGUGAGCUGUGGGCAGGUGGUGGGGGUCCCCGGGUGCCUUCCCCCCAGGCACACAGGCAUUAGCUGAUGCUUCAGGCCUGCUUUCCAAGUUCAUCUGAUGCACCCAUCCCAACCUCAGCUUUAAUUAUGUCUGCGCUUGCGAAAGCCAAGCAAUUCAGCCUUCCCAGAAACGCAGGCUCCCUGAAUCUUCCAGGGCAUUUCAACAUGCAGGAGCCCCAGGGAAAAGUGGCCUCUCCGUUCUUGCUUCUCUUGUUGAAGCGGCUUUCAUCUGGGUCUGCAGGAGAACUUCCUCCCACCCUUUCUUUCCUCUCCUUCUUUCUUUAUUAUUUUCUAGGAACUUAAAUGCAAAAUGCCCAAGAUAACGCAACUCCCAUCAUUUUCUUCCCUGCCCUUUGUGUCUCUGAAUCUUCAAAUCACAUGCCAUGCCAGCCAGUUUAGCAUAAGAAAUUAAAUUAAUUUUCAUGCUUCGGAUGUAAAUGCCUUUAUUAAUAAUUUAAAGCACAUUUAUUUAUGCAGUUUGAUAUGUUUCAGGUUCAGGGAAGCAAUUAAGUUUUGCCCAUGCAGCUGAUCAGCAGACAGCGUCUUCCGUGCCUGCUGCCCCUCCAGAGCGGCUGCAGGAGAGUCACGUGCACAGAACCUCACCCCUCUGGCCUGCCCACUGCCUCUGUGAGACGUGGGCUUUUGAAAUGAGGAGAGCACACUUAUUUGCUGGGGCCCGACUCAAGGAAGGCCAAUUUCUUUCUCAGAAUUGCCCUGGGUUAUUAGACUUGACCUUCAAAAGUCCUCCCCUCAACUAGUUCCUCCCCUCAACUAGUUCCUGGCGAGGCUGUCAUCCUCUAAAAGCCACCUUUAGAUUUUACUCUGGGAAGCAAUUUUACAUCUGUUGAGGGCUUGGCUGCUUGAGAGUGAGAAGAGCUGGCUUGGCCACUUAGGAACUGGUGAGCAUGGACAACUUGUCCCACUGCGUUCACCUGUUUCCUUAUCUGAAAAAUGAGGAAAUGAUAUUUCCCUUAAUAAGGAUGCUGUGAACUUUGAGUAGCAAGAGAAUGUACAUGAAAGCACUUAGCUGGUCUACCCACCUUUCCUUUUCAAUGGCCUUGCCCUGUCCCCUUCCCAGGCCUGUGCUUGGGCUGUGUCUGCUCCCACCCCCACUGCCACCUGUGACACUAUUCCUUCUCAUCUUCAUAUCUCAGCCCCACCCCACGCUUUGUAAUCAAAACACUUUGUAUUCACUUAUGCUUGGUACUAUCCAAAGAUCUUUCGCAUCCCUGAUAUCAUUUUAUCAUCAGCACGAAUGCUUUAAACAGAGAUGGAAUCUGAGUUCCCAGGAGGCGUAACUUUCCAGAGACAGAUUAGAAUUCAAAAAUGUUGUCGGGACCCCUGUGCACCAUGGACUGCGCGGGAUACUAUGGAAUGCGCGUGGAGCACACCAUGAUGACCUGGGUGUGUCUCUAGGGUCUCACUAGGGGGACCAAGAGAAAGCAGCGCCCCCUGCCCCUCACUCGGACCCUACUCUGCUCAGUGUGUGCUGCAUGUUCAGAAACUGACCAGGAGUCCAGGACUGAAGCUGGCUGGGACGCCUUGGGCACGUCUUCUCAGUCUUAUCAAUCAGAUCCCAAGAUCAGGUCUUCUCCACCCAGGUCUCCACGGAGUGGGACCUGGAACCAUCCUCGACUUCCCUCUCCCUCACCCCCACCUGUAGUGCAUCGCCCAGCCUUGCUGAUUUCGUGUCUCUGGAGUGCGCCCACUUCUCUGCCUCUUGCUGUUACCACCCGCCUCUAGAGCAUCAUCAUCUCUCGUGUAGACCCCUGCAACAGCUUCCAAUGGGUCUCCCUCGGCCACCUCUGCACCACCAAGCCAUUCCCCCACUUACUGGCACCCUCCUCACCACACGGACACAUCUGAAAGCUCCAAAGCCUCCUCAUUGCCCCAGACCAAGGACAAAGGCUUUAUCAUAUCCCAUAACUCACCGCAUGGUGUGGCCCUCCGUUCCUUUUAGCUGUCUUCCAUAAAGAUCUUGGUCCCGGAGGCCAGAGUGACCUUGGGCAAGACAUGGCACCUCACUGAGCUUCAUCUGAAAAAUGGGGGCAGAGCAUCUCUCCAUGGAGUUAUGAUAAGGAGGAAAGGAGAUGAAUUAUGAAGUGUCUAGGAGGCAGAAAAUUCCAGCUGGCUCUGCAGGGUCCAGGCGCCCCCCUGCCUUCUCUCUGCGUGUGUGCCUAGAAUAGAAGCUGCCAAGGUGUUGACGUGCCUCUGACGACCUUCCAGUCGAGGAAGCUGCGGGAGGGAUGGCGGUGCGGACAUGUGCUGAGUUUCCCUCUCAUCUCGUGCUCGUCACUCGGCCCCCACAGGCAGGCACUGGAGGUGCUCCCAGCCAGCUGGGUGGGCUCCAGGCAGC